rnacentral:rRNA from 1 species
UACGGGGGGGGCAAGCGUUGUUCGGAAUUACUGGGCGUAAAGGGCGCGUAGGCGGCCUGCUAAGUCGGACGUGAAAUCCCUCGGCUCAACCGGGGAACUGCGUCCGAUACUGGUGGGCUCGAAUCCGGGAGAGGGAUGUGGAAUUCCAGGUGUAGCGGUGAAAUGCGCAGAUAUCAGGAAGAACACCCGUGGCGAAGGCGGUUCUCUGGGACGGUACUGACGCUGAGACGCGAAAGCGUGGGGAGCGAACAGG